rnacentral:rRNA from 1 species
AAAUUGUUAGUGGCAGACGGGUGAGUAAUGCGUAGGAAUCUACCUAGUAGUACGGAAUAGCCAUUAGAAAUGGUGGGUAAUACUGUAUAAUCCCCGAGGGGGAAAGAUUUAUCGCUAUUAGAUGAGCCUACGUUAGAUUAGCUAGUUGGUGAGGUAAUGGCUUACCAAGGCUAUGAUCUAUAGCUGGUCUGAGAGGACGAUCAGCCACACUGGAACUGAGAUACGGUCCAGACUCCUACGGGAGGCAGCAGUGGGGAAUAUUGGACAAUGGGCGAAAGCUGAUCCAGCUAUGCCGCGUGAGUGAAGAAGGCCUUCGGGUUGUAAAACUCUUUCAAUAGGGAAGAUAAUGACGGUACCUAUAGAAGAAGUCCCGGCAAACUCUGUGCCAGCAGCCGCGGUAAUACGGAGGGGGCAAGCGUU